AUUAGGUUUUGGGGCUAGGGUUAGGUUUAAGGUUUUUGGCGUUAGGGUUAAAAUAACUGUCCAAUAUUUUUUAAGGAACAUGUUUCAGACCUUUGGGAGUUAGUUAGACAAAAAAAUAAGAAAAAGAAAAAAAAAAUAUUUGGGGUGUUCGGGUUUCCUGAAGGUAAUACCCGGGUAUUAGGUUAUGGGGCUAGGGUAAGGUUUAAGGUUUUUGGCGUUAGAGUUAAAAUCAGUGUCCAAAACCUUUUUAGGAACAUGUUUAAGACCUUUUUGAGUUGGUUACACCAAAAAAAAAUGUAAAAUGCAAAGGUAAUACCCGGGUAUUAGGUUUUGGGGUUUUUUAAAAUCACUGUCCAAAACCUUUUAGGAACUUUUCAGACCUUUUGGAGUUGUUAACCAAAAAAAAGAAAAGAAAAAAAUAUUUGGGGUGUUCGGCUUCCUGAAGGUAAUACCCGGGUAUUAGGUUAAGGGUUAAAAUCACUGUCCAAAACCUUUUAGGAACUUUUCGACCUUUUGGAGUUGUUAUAUUUGGGGUGUUCGGCUUCCUGAAGGUAAUACCCGGGUAUUAGGUUUGGGGCUAGGGUAAGGUUAAAGGUUUUUGGAGUUAGAGUUAAAAUCAGUGUCCAAAACCUUUUUAGGAACAUGUUUAAGACCUUUUGGAGUUGGUUACACCAAAAAAAAAAAGUAAAAUAAAAAAAAAAGAAUUGGGGUGUUCGGGCUUCCUGAAGGUAAUACCCGGGUAUUAGGUAAUGGGGCUAGGGUAAGGUUUAAGGUUUUUGGCGUUAGGGUUAAAAUCACUGUCCAAAACCUUUUUAGGAACAUGUUUAAGACCUUUUGGAGUUGGUUACACCAAAAAAAAAUGUAAAAUGAAAAAAAAAAAUUUGGGGUGUUCGGGCUUCCUGAAGGUAAUACCCGGGUAUUAGGUAAUGGGGCUAGGGUAAGGUUUAAGGUUUUUGGCGUGAGGGUUAAAAUCACUGUCCAAAACCUUUGUAGGACCUCUUUUCCAACCUUUUGGUGUUAGUUAGACCAAAAAAAAAUGAAAAAUGAAAAAAAAAUAUUUGGGGUGUUCGGGCUUCCUGAAGGUAAUACCCGGGUAUUAGGUUAUGGGGCUAGGGUAAGGUUUAAGGUUUUUGGCGUGAGGGUUAAAAUCACUGUCCAAAACCUUUGUAGGAAGUCUUUUCCAACCUUUUGGAGUUAGUUAGACAAAAAAAAAAAAAGAUAAAUGAAAAAAAAAUAUUUGGGGUGUUCGGGCUUCCUGAAGGUAAUACCCGGGUAUUAGGUUAUGGGGCUAGGGUAAGUUUUAAGGUUUUUGGCGUUAGGGUUAAAAUCACUGUCCAAAACCUUUUUAGGAACAUGUUUAAGACCUUUUGGAGUUGGUUACACCAAAAAAAAAAGUAAAAUGAAAAAAAUUUAUAUUUGGGGUGUUCGGGCUUCCUGAAGGUAAUACCCGGGGGUAUUAGGUAAUGGGGCUAGGGUAAGGUUUAAGGUUUUUGGCGUGAGGGUUAAAAUCACUGUCCAAAACCUUUGUAGGACCUCUUUUCCAACCUUUUGGUGUUAGUCAGACCAAAAAAAAACGAAAAAUGAAAAAAAAAUAUUUGGGGUUUUUCGGCUUCCUGAAGGUAAUACCCGGGUAUUAGGUUAUGGGGCUUUGGAAAGGUUUAAGGUUUUUGGCGUGAGGGUUAAAAUCACUGUCCAAAACCUUUGUAGGAAGUCUUUUCCAACCUUUUGGAGUUAGUUAGACCAAAAAAAAAUGAAAAAUGAAAAAAAAAAAUUUGGGGUGUUCGGGCUUCCUGAAGGUAUUAGGUUUUGGGGCUAGGGUAAGGUUUAAGGUUUUUGGCGUUAGGGUUAAAAUCACUGUCCAAAACCUUUUUAGGAACAUGUUUCAGACCUUUUGGAGUUGGUUACACCAAAAAAAAUGUAAAAUGAAAAAAAAUAUAUUUGGGGUGUUCGGGCUUCCUGAAGGUAAUACCCGGGUAUUAGGUAAUGGGGCUAGGGUAAGGUUUAAGGUUUUUGGCGUGAGGGUUAAAAUCACUGUCCAAAACCUUUGUAGGAAGUCUUUUCCAACCUUUUGGAGUUAGUUAGACAAAAAAAAAAAAAAAGAUAAAUGAAAAAAAAAUAUUUGGGGUGUUCGGGCUUCCUGAAGGUAAUACCCGGGUAUUAGGUUAUGGGGCUAGGGUAAGGUUUAAGGUUUUUGGCGUUAGAGUUAAAAUCAGUGUCCAAAACCUUUUUAGGAACAUGUUUAAGACCUUUUGGAGUUGGUUACACCAAAAAAAAAAAGUAAAAUGAAAAAAAAAAAAUUGGGGUGUUCGGGCUUCCUGAAGGUAAUACCCGGGUAUUAGGUUUUGGGGAUAGGGUAAGGUUUAAGGUUUUUGGUGUAGGGUUAAAAUCACUGUCCAAAACCUUUUAAGGAACAAGAUUCAGACCUUUUGGAGUUGGUUACACCAAAAAAAAUGUAAAAUGAAAAAAAUAUAUAUUUGGGGUGUUCGGGCUUCCUGAAGGUAAUACCCGGGUAUUAGGUAAUGGGGCUAGGGUAAGGUUUAAGGUUUUUGGCGUGAGGGUUAAAAUCACUGUCCAAAACCUUUGUAGGAAGUCUUUUCCAACCUUUUGGAGUUAGUUAGACAAAAAAAAAAAAAAGAUAAAUGAAAAAAAAAUAUUUGGGGUGUUCGGGCUUCCUGAAGGUAAUACCCGGGUAUUAGGUUAUGGGGCUAGGGUAAGGUUUAAGGUUUUUGGCGUUAGGGUUAAAAUCACUGUCCAAAACCUUUGUAGGAACUCUUUUCUGACCUUUUGGAGUUAGUUUGACCAAAAAAAAAAAGAAAAAGAAAAAAUAUAUAUUUGGGGUGUUCAGGCUUCCUGAAGGUAAUACUAGGUUUCUGGGCUAGGGUAAUGUUUAAGGUUUUUGGGUAGGGUUAAAAUCACUGUCCAAAACCUUUGUAGGAACUUUUCAACCUUUGGAGUUGUUAACCAAAAAAAAGAAAAGAAAAAAAAUUGGGGUGUUCGGGCUUCCUGAAGGUAAUACCCGGGUAUGAGGUUAUGGGGCUAGGGUAAGGUUUAAGGUUUUUGGCGUUAGGGUUAAAAUCACUGUCCAAAACCUUUUUAGGAACAUGUUUCAGACCUUUUGGAGUUGGUAACACCAAAAAUAAAUGUAAAAUGAAAAAAAAAUAUUUGGGGUGUUCGGGUUCCCUGAAGGUAAUACCCGGGUAUUAGGUUAUGGGGCUAGGGAAAGGUUUAAGGUUUUUGGCGUGAGGGUUAAAAUCACUGUCCAAAACCUUUGUAGGAAGUCUUUUCCAACCUUUUGGAGUUAGUUAGACCAAUAAAAAAAUGAAAAAUGAAAAAAAAAAAUUUGGGGUGUUCGGGCUUCCUGAAGGUAUUAGGUUUUGGGGCUAGGGUAAGGUUUAAGGUUUUUGGCGUUAGGGUUAAAAUCACUGUCCAAAACCUUUUUAGGAACAUGUUUAAGACCUUUUGGAGUUGGUUACACCAAAAAAAAAAAUGUAAAAUGAAAAAAAUAUAUAUUUGGGGUGUUCGGGCUUCCUGAAGGUAAUACCCGGGUAUUAGGUAAUGGGGCUAGGGUAAGGUUUAAGGUUUUUGGCGUGAGGGUUAAAAUCACUGUCCAAAACCUUUGUAGGAACUCUUUUCUGACCUUUUGGAGUUAGUUAGACCAAAAAAAAUGUAAAAUGAAAAAAAUAUAAUUGGGGUGUUCAGGCUUCCUGAAGGUAAUACCCGGGUAUGAGGUUAUGGGGCUAGGGUAAGGUUUAAGGUUUUUGGCGUUAGGGUUAAAAUCACUGUCCAAAACCUUUUUAGGAACAUGUUUCAGACCUUUUGGAGUUGGUAACACCAAAAAUAAAUGUAAAAUGAAAAAAAAAUAUUUGGGGUGUUCGGGUUCCCUGAAGGUAAUACCCGGGUAUUAGGUUAUGGGGCUAGGGUAAGGUUUAAGGUUUUCCGGCGUGAGGGUAAAAAUCACUGUCCAAAACCUUUGUAGGAAGUCUUUUCCAACCUUUUGGAGUUAGUAAGACCAAUAAAAAAAUGAAAAAUGGAAAAAAAAAUAUUUGGGGUGUUCGGGCUUCCUGAAGGUAAUACCCGGGUAUUAGGUUAUGGGGCUAGGGUAAGGUUAAAGGUUUUUGGAGUUAGAGUUAAAAUCAGUGUCCAAAACCUUUUUAGGAACAUGUUUAAGACCUUUUGGAGUUGGUUACACCAAAAAAAAAAAGUAAAAUGAAAAAAAAAAAAUUGGGGUGUUCGGGCUUCCUGAAGGUAAUACCCGGGUAUUAGGUUUUGGGGAUAGGGUAAGGUUUAAGGUUUUUGGUGUAAGGCGUAAAAUCACUGUCCAAAACCUUUUAAGGAACAAGAUUCAGACCUUUUGGAGUUGGUUACACCAAAAAAAAAUGUAAAAUGAAAAAAAUAUAUAUUUGGGGUGUUCGGGCUUCCUGAAGGUAAUACCCGGGUAUUAGGUAAUGGGGCUAGGGUAAGGUUUAAGGUUUUUGGCGUGAGGGUUAAAAUCACUGUCCAAAACCUUUGUAGGAAGUCUUUUCCAACCUUUUGGAGUUAGUUAGACAAAAAAAAAAAGAUGAAUGAAAAAAAAAUAUUUGGGGUGUUCGGGCUUCCUGAAGGUAAUACCCGGGUAUUAGGUUAUGGGGCUUUGGAAAGGUUUAAGGUUUUUGGCGUGAGGGUUAAAAUCACUGUCCAAAACCUUUGUAGGAAGUCUUUUCCAACCUUUUGGAGUUAGUUAGACCAAUAAAAAAAUGAAAAAUGAAAAAAAAAUAUUUGGGGUGUUCGGGCUUCCUGAAGGUAAUACCCGGGUAUUAGGUUAUGGGGCUAGGGUAAGGUUUAAGGUUUUUGGCGUUAGGGUUAAAAUCACUGUCCAAAACCUUUUUAGGAACAUGUUUAAGACCUUUUGGAGUUGGUUACACCAAAAAAAAAUGUAAAAUGAAAAAAAUAUAUAUUUGGGGUGUUCGGGCUUCCUGAAGGUAAUACCCGGGUAUUAGGUAAUGGGGCUAGGGUAAGGUUUAAGGUUUUUGGCGUGAGGGUUAAAAUCACUGUCCAAAACCUUUGUAGGAAGUCUUUUCCAACCUUUUGGAGUUAGUUAGACAAAAAAGGAAAGAUAAAUGAAAAAAAAAUAUUUGGGGUGUUCGGGCUUCCUGAAGGUAAUACCCGGGUAUUAGGUUAUGGGGCUAGGGUAAGGUUAAAGGUUUUUGGAGUUAGAGUUAAAAUCAGUGUCCAAAACCUUUUUAGGAACAUGUUUAAGACCUUUUGGAGUUGGUUACACCAAAAAAAAAAUGUAAAAUGAAAAAAAAAAAAUUGGGGUGUUCGGGCUUCCUGAAGGUAAUACCCGGGUAUUAGGUUUUGGGGCUAGGGUAAGGUUUAAGGUUUUUGGUGUAAGGGUUAAAAUCACUGUCCAAAACCUUUUAAGGAACAAGAUUCAGACCUUUUGGAGUUGGUUACACCAAAAAAAAUGUAAAAUGAAAAAAAUAUAUAUUUGGGGUGUUCGGGCUUCCUGAAGGUAAUACCCGGGUAUUAGGUAAUGGGGCUAGGGUAAGGUUUAAGGUUUUUGGCGUGAGGGUUAAAAUCACUGUCCAAAACCUUUGUAGGAAGUCUUUUCCAACCUUUUGGAGUUAGUUAGACAAAAAAAAAAAAAAGAAAAAAUAUAAUUGGGGUGUUCGGGCUUCCUGAAGGUAAUACCCGGGUAUGGGGUUAUGGGGCUAGGGUAAGGUUUAAGGUUUUUGGCGUUAGGGUUAAAAUCACUGUCCAAAACCUUUUUAGGAACAUGUUUCAGACCUUUUGGAGUUGGUUAACACCAAAAAUAAAUGUAAAAUGAAAAAAAAAUAUUUGGGGUGUUCGGGCUUCCUGAAGGUAAUACCCGGGUAUUAGGUUAUGGGGCUAGGUUAAGGUUUAAGGUUUUUGGCAUGAGGGUUAAAAUCAAUGUCCAAAACCUUUGUAGGAAGUCUUUUCCAACCUUUUGGAGUUAGUUAGACAAAAAAAAAAAGAUGAAUGAAAAAAAAAUAUUUGGGGUGUUCGGGCUUCCUGAAGGUAAUACCCGGGUAUUAGGUUAUGGGGCUUUGGAAAGGUUUAAGGUUUUUGGCGUGAGGGUUAAAAUCACUGUCCAAAACCUUUGUAGGAAGUCUUUUCCAACCUUUUGGAGUUAGUUAGACCAAAAAAAAAAUGAAAAAUGAAAAAAAAAAAUUUGGGGUGUUCGGGCUUCCUGAAGGUAUUAGGUUUUGGGGCUAGGGUAAGGUUUAAGGUUUUUGGCGUUAGGGUUAAAAUCACUGUCCAAAACCUUUUUAGGAACAUGUUUAAGACCUUUUGGAGUUGGUUAGACAAAAAAAAAAUGUAAAAUGAAAAAAAUAUAUAUUUGGGGUGUUCGGGCUUCCUGAAGGUAAUACCCGGGUAUUAGGUAAUGGGGCUAGGGUAAGGUUUAAGGUUUUUGGCGUGAGGGUUAAAAUCACUGUCCAAAACCUUUGUAGGAAGUCUUUUCCAACCUUUUGGAGUUAGUUAGACAAAAAAAAAAAAGAUAAAUGAAAAAAAAAUAUUUGGGGUGUUCGGGCUUCCUGAAGGUAAUACCCGGGUAUUAGGUUAUGGGGCUAGGGUAAGGUUUAAGGUUUUUGGCGUUAGAGUUAAAAUCAGUGUCCAAAACCUUUUUAGGAACAUGUUUAAGACCUUUUGGAGUUGGUUACACCAAAAAAAAAAUGUAAAAUGAAAAAAAAAAAAUUGGGGUGUUCGGGCUUCCUGAAGGUAAUACCCGGGUAUUAGGUUUUGGGGCUAGGGUAAGGUUUAAGGUUUUUGGCGUGAGGGUUAAAAUCACUGUCCAAAACCUUUGUAGGAAGUCUUUUCCAACCUUUUGGAGUUAGUUAGACAAAAAAAAAAGAUAAAUGAAAAAAAAAUAUUUGGGGUGUUCGGGCUUCCUGAAGGUAAUACCCGGGUAUUAGGUUAUGGGGCUAGGGUAAGGUUAAAGGUUUUUGGAGUUAGAGUUAAAAUCAGUGUCCAAAACCUUUUUAGGAACAUGUUUAAGACCUUUUGGAGUUGGUUACACCAAAAAAAAAAAAGUAAAAUGAAAAAAAAAAAAUUGGGGUGUUCGGGCUUCCUGAAGGUAAUACCCGGGUAUUAGGUUUUGGGGCUAGGGUAAGGUUUAAGGUUUUUGGCGUUAGGGUUAAAAUCACUGUCCAAAACCUUUUAAGGAACAAGAUUCAGACCUUUUGGAGUUGGUUACACCAAAAAAAAUGUAAAAUGAAAAAAAUAUAUAUUUGGGGUGUUCGGGCUUCCUGAAGGUAAUACCCGGGUAUUAGGUAAUGGGGCUAGGGUAAGGUUUAAGGUUUUUGGCGUGAGGGUUAAAAUCACUGUCCAAAACCUUUGUAGGAACAAUUUUCAAACCUUUUGGAGUUAGUUAGACAAAAAAAAAAAAGAAAAAAGAAAAAAAUAUAAUUGGGGUGUUCGGGCUUCCUGAAGGUAAUACCCGGGUAUUAGGUUAUGGGGCUAGGGUAAGGUUUAAGGUUUUUGGCGUUAGGGUUAAAAUCACUGUCCAAAACCUUUUUAGGAACAUGUUUCAGACCUUUUGGAGUUGGUAACACCAAAAAUAAAUGUAAAAUGAAAAAAAAAUAUUUGGGGUGUUCGGGCUUCCUGAAGGUAAUACCCGGGUAUUAGGUUAUGGGGCUAGGUAAAGGUUUAAGGUUUUUGGCAUGAGGGUUAAAAUCAAUGUCCAAAACCUUUGUAGGAAGUCUUUUCCAACCUUUUGGAGUUAGUUAGACAAAAAAAAAAAAAUGAAUGAAAAAAAAAUAUUUGGGGUGUUCGGGCUUCCUGAAGGUAAUACCCGGGUAUUAGGUUAUCGGGCUUUGGAAAGGUUUAAGGUUUUUGGCGUGAGGGUUAAAAUCACUGUCCAAAACCUUUGUAGGAAGUCUUUUCCAACCUUUUGGAGUUAGUUAGACCAAUAAAAAAAUGAAAAAUGAAAAAAAAAAAUUUGGGGUGUUCGGGCUUCCUGAAGGUAUUAGGUUUUGGGGCUAGGGUAAGGUUUAAGGUUUUUGGCGUUAGGGUUAAAAUCACUGUCCAAAACCUUUUUAGGAACAUGUUUAAGACCUUUUGGAGUUGGUUACACCAAAAAAAAUGUAAAAUGAAAAAAAUAUAUAUUUGGGGUGUUCGGGCUUCCUGAAGGUAAUACUAGGGUAAAGUUUAAGGUUUUUGGCGUGAGGGUUAAAAUCACUGUCCAAAACCUUUGUAGGAAGUCUUUUCCAACCUUUUGGAGUUAGUUAGACAAAAAAAAAAGAUAAAUGAAAAAAAAAUAUAUUUGGGGUGUUCGGGCUUCCUGAAGGUAAUACCCGGGUAUUAGGUUAUGGGGCUAGGGUAAGGUUAAAGGUUUUUGGAGUUAGAGUUAAAAUCAGUGUCCAAAACCUUUUUAGGAACAUGUUUAAGACCUUUUGGAGUUGGUUACACCAAAAAAAAAAUGUAAAAUGAAAAAAAAAAAAAUUGGGGUGUUCGGGCUUCCUGAAGGUAAUACCCGGGUAUUAGGUUUUGGGGCUAGGGUAAGGUUUAAGGUUUUUGGUGUUAGGGUUAAAAUCACUGUCCAAAACCUUUGUAGGAACUCUUUUCUGACCUUUUGGAGUUAGUUAGACCAAAAAAAAAGAAAAAAGAAAAAAAUAUAAUUGGGGUGUUCGGGCUUCCUGAAGGUAAUACCCGGGUAUGAGGUUAUGGGGCUAGGGUAAGGUUUAAGGUUUUUGGCGUUAGGGUUAAAAUCACUGUCCAAAACCUUUUUAGGAACAUGUUUCAGACCUUUUGGAGUUGGUAACACCAAAAAUAAAUGUAAAAUGAAAAAAAAAUAUUUGGGGUGUUCGGGUUCCCUGAAGGUAAUACCCGGGUAUUAGGUUUUGGGGCUAGGGUAAGGUUUAAGGUUUUUGACGUUAGGGUUAAAAUCACUGUCCAAAACCUUUUAAGGAACAAGAUUCAGACCUUUUGGAGUUGGUUACACCAAAAAAAAUGUAAAAUGAAAAAAAAAAAUAUUUGGGGUGUUCGGGCUUCCUGAAGGUAAUAGGUUUUGGGGCUAGGGUAAGGUUUAAGGUUUUUGGCGUUAGGGUUAAAAUCACUGUCCAAAACCUUUUAAGGAACAAGAUUCAGACCUUUUGGAGUUGGUUACACCAAAAAAAAUGUAAAAUGAAAAAAAAAAUAUUUUGGGUGUUCGGGCUUCCUGAAGGUAAUACCCUUCAGGUUUAAGUAUUAGGUUAUGGGGCUAGGAUUAGGUUUAAGGUUUUUGGCGUAAGGGUUAAAAUCACUGUCCAAUAUUUUUUAAGGAACAUGUUUCAGACCUUUUGGAGCUAGUUUGACCAAAAAAAAAAAAAAAAAGAAAAAAUAUAUAUUUGGGGUGUUCGGGCUUCCUGAAGGUAAUACCCGGGUAUUAGGUUAUGGGGCUAGGGUAAGGUUUAAGGUUUUUGGCGUGAGGGUAAAAAUCACUGUCCAAAACCUUUGUAGGAACUCUUUUCCAACCUUUGGGAAUUAGUUAGACAAAAAAAAGAUAAAUGAAAAAAAAAUAUUUGGGGUGUUCGGGCUUCCUGAAGGUAAUACCCGGGUAUUAGGUUUUGGGGCUAGGGUUAGGUUUAAGGUUUUUGGCGUUAGGGUUAAAAUCACUGUCCAAAAUCUUUGUAGGAAGUCUUUUCCAACCUUUUGGAGUUAGUUAGACAAAAAAAAAAGAUAAAUGAAAAAAAAAUAUUUGGGGUGUUCGGGCUUCCUGAAGGUAAUACCCGGGUAUUAGGUUAUGGGGCUAGGGUAAGGUUAAAGGUUUUUGGAGUUAGAGUUAAAAUCAGUGUCCAAAACCUUUUUAGGAACAUGUUUAAGACCUUUUGGAGUUGGUUACACCAAAAAAAAAUGUAAAAUGAAAAAAAUAUAUAUUUGGGGUGUUCGGGUUUCCUGAAGGUAAUACCCGGGUAUUAGGUAAUGGGGCUAGGGUAAGGUUUAAGGUUUUUGGCGUGAGGGUUAAAAUCACUGUCCAAAACCUUUGUAGGAAGUCUUUUCCAACCUUUUGGAGUUAGAGAAAAAAAAGAUGAAUGAAAAAAAAAUAUUUGGGGUGUUCGGGCUUCCUGAAGGUAAUACCCGGGUAUUAGGUUAUGGGGCUAGGGUAAGGUUAAAGGUUUUUGGAGUUAGAGUUAAAAUCAGUGUCCAAAAACUUUUUAGGAACAUGUUUAAGACCUUUUGGAGUUGGUUACACCAAAAAAAAAAUAUAAAAUGAAAAAAAAAAAAAUGGGGUGUUCGGGCUUCCUGAAGGUAAUACCCGGGUAUUAGGUUUUGGGGCUAGGGUAAGGUUUAAGGUUUUUGGUGUUAGGGUUAAAAUCACUGUCCAAAACCUUUGUAGGAACUCUUUUCUGACCUUUUGGAGUUAGUUAGACCAAAAAAAAAGAAAAAAGAAAAAAUACAAUUGGGGUGUUCGGGCUUCCUGAAGGUAAUACCCGGGUAUGAGGUUAUGGGGCUAGGGUAAGGUUUAAGGUUUUUGGCGUUAGGGUUAAAAUCACUGUCCAAAACCU